rnacentral:rRNA from 1 species
UGGGGAAUAUUGGACAAUGGGCGGAAGCCUGAUCCAGCCAUGCCGCGUGUGUGAAGAAGGCCUUUUGGUUGUAAAGCACUUUAAGCGAGGAGGAGGCUACUUGGAUUAAUACUCUAGGAUAGUGGACGUUACUCGCAGAAUAAGCACCGUCUAACUCUGUGCCAGCAGCCUCGGUAAUACAGAGGGUGCGAGCGUUAAUCGGAUUUACUGGGCGUAAAGCGUGCGUAGGCGGCUUCUUAAGUCGGCUGUGAAAUCCCUGAGCUUAACUUAGGGCUUGCAUUCGAUACUGGGAAGCUAGAGUAUGGGAGAGGAUGGUAGAAUUCCAGGUGUAGCGGUGAAAUGCGUAGAGAUCUGGAGGAAUACCGAUGGCGAAGGCAGCCAUCUGGCCUAAUACUGACGCUGAGGUACGAAAGCAUGGGGAGCAAACAGG